rnacentral:rRNA from 2 species
CUCUGGUAUUGAUUGGUGCUUGCAUCAUGAUUUACAUUUGAGUGAGUGGCGAACUGGUGAGUAACACGUGGGAAACCUGCCCAGAAGCGGGGGAUAACACCUGGAAACAGAUGCUAAUACCGCAUAACAACUUGGACCGCAUGGUCCGAGCUUGAAAGAUGGCUUCGGCUAUCACUUUUGGAUGGUCCCGCGGCGUAUUAGCUAGAUGGUGGGGUAACGGCUCACCAUGGCAAUGAUACGUAGCCGACCUGAGAGGGUAAUCGGCCACAUUGGGACUGAGACACGGCCCAAACUCCUACGGGAGGCAGCAGUAGGGAAUCUUCCACAAUGGACGAAAGUCUGAUGGAGCAACGCCGCGUGAGUGAAGAAGGGUUUCGGCUCGUAAAACUCUGUUGUUAAAGAAGAACAUAUCUGAGAGUAACUGUUCAGGUAUUGACGGUAUUUAACCAGAAAGCCACGGCUAACUACGUGCCAGCAGCCGCGGUAAUACGUAGGUGGCAAGCGUUGUCCGGAUUUAUUGGGCGUAAAGCGAGCGCAGGCGGUUUUUUAAGUCUGAUGUG